UACUGCGAUGAAUAUUUUGUGACGUAUUUCCAUAUCCACAUAUAUGACAGCUUCUCUAGGUUGUGUGUCUCAGAAGAGAAAUAAUGUAUCAUAGAUUUUGGAAGAAGCACGAAAAUGAUUUACUGAUUUAGGAACUGGGUGGAGUAGACCACAAAAAGACAAAUCAAAAACAUCUGGAAUGAACUAGUUGAGAGAGAAAAAGAGAGAGCAAGAAAAAAGUAAGGCUUUCAAAUGAAACAAAGUACAGAUGAUUUGGCCAAAUUUAAGCCAAGCCAAACACUCACAUUGAACAUUGCACUUGGGUGUGUUUCAAGAGCAGGAGCCGGCAAGAGGGAGCCUCAGCCAACACUACAUCAGAGGCACAUUGUGGAUGGAGGAAAUGAGUUUAGUCAAGCCAGCUGUGACUUCAAAGGGGCUGCUCUCCCAGAGAACAGUGAGAAAGGGUUCCCCCUUCAGUGAAGACUGCAAAGUUCAGCCAGCGCCAACCCAAAGGGAAUGGACUCCAGGAAGGGGCAAAUUACAUUCAACAUACAAGAAAGAAUAUUUUCCUUCAUGAAGUGGCUGUGACAGUCUGAAGAGGAAGGAAAAUGACAAAAAAGAAAGGUGAGAAGAAAAUAUUCUGAUGCCCCUUUGGGGACUGUAGUCCUGUGUGCAUACUUAUAAAAUGGGGUAUUUGUAUACACAUUUGUACUUGCAUAAGGUUGCUUUUAAUCUAAGACACCUCCAAGCAUGAAUCAUGUUUCCAAACAUGUGGGAGGAGAGAACAUAGGAUUCUUCCCUGCUGACUGCCAUAGUUUCUUUCCCUCUUUGUGCUUCUAGAAAACUACACAUUUCUUUCAAAUUACUUACUUCACACAAAUUUACUGAGGAACAAUAGGGUGGACCCUGCAUAUUCGAAGACAAGAUCGUCUGUGUUCCAGUUCAAAAGAAGAAGCUAGACACAUAAACUGAAGAUUAUGGUAUUGAGUGAUAAGCCUUGGAGCAGGAAUCCCAAAGUGUGAUCACAUGACCAGCAGCAGCAACAUCACCUGGGAACUUGUUAGAAAUGCAAAUUUGCAGGCCCUAAUCCAAAUCUACUGAAUAAGAAAGUUGAGGUUGAUUUAACAAGCCCUUCAAGUGAUUCAAUGCUUGCUAAAACUGGAGAACCACCUUGAUAGUGAAGGGACAAAAGGACUUUUGUGCAGAGAGCUAACACAUCUGAACUAACCUUGAGAUCCUCUGCCAUCUAUAAAUCACUUCUCAAUCUCUUCCCGAUAAGAUUCUAAAUAGGUGGCUCUCUGGCAAUUCAAGGGAUGAUACACGCGUGUGUGUCUUCUCUCUUUAUGUAAGUUAUAAGAUCUGAAUGACAGAGGCACAUUCUUCUUUUAUGUUUUCUUUCCUUUCUCCUCCUAUUUUUAGGGCCAGUACGUGGAAAAUGCGGAAAUUGGAACUUACUAUAAGUAACUAAUUCAGAAAUCAGGCUGGCAGAAGUGUUAUACAUUCACUGGAAGAAAUUGGUGAAUAUAUGGAAAACAUAAAUGUUAUGUAUCCUGGAACUUAAAAUAAAAAUUAAUAAUAAAAAAUGUUAUCUCUCCCAA